rnacentral:misc_RNA from 1 species
CGGCACGAAUCCAGAGGAAAGGAUAAAAGGUAGAUAGAGUCCACUUGUGCUUUACUGGGUAUUAGUAAUAUCCGAAAAGCAAGCCAAAUUUUGGAAUUUUUUGGCGUUUUAGCGUUAAAUUCAUUCAAUCCUUUUCAAGGUUUUUCUAGCAUUUAUUCCCACUUUGAUUAUGCAAUAAUUCCUCAAAUCUGCAAAUUUAAGCCACAAAGCUUUCUUGGUUCACAGCUUCAAAAAGCACAAUCUUUCUGUGGU